AUGAACGCUAGCUACAGGCUUAACACAUGCAAGUCGAGGGGCAGCAUGGUCUUAGCUUGCUAAGGCCGAUGGCGACCGGCGCACGGGUGAGUAACACGUAUCCAACCUGCCGUCUACUCUUGGACAGCCUUCUGAAAGGAAGAUUAAUACAAGAUGGCAUCAUGAGUCCGCAUGUUCACAUGAUUAAAGGUAUUCCGGUAGACGAUGGGGAUGCGUUCCAUUAGAUAGUAGGCGGGGUAACGGCCCACCUAGUCUUCGAUGGAUAGGGGUUCUGAGAGGAAGAUCCCCCACAUUGGAACUGAGACACGGUCCAAACUCCUACGGGAGGCAGCAGUGAGGAAUAUUGGUCAAUGGGCGAGAGCCUGAACCAGCCAAGUAGCGUGAAGGAUGACUGCCCUAUGGGUUGUAAACUUCUUUUAUAAAGGAAUAAAGUCGGGUAUGGAUACCCGUUUGCAUGUACUUUAUGAAUAAGGAUCGGCUAACUCCGUGCCAGCAGCCGCGGUAAUACGGAGGAUCCGAGCGUUAUCCGGAUUUAUUGGGUUUAAAGGGAGCGUAGAUGGAUGUUUAAGUCAGUUGUGAAAGUUUGCGGCUCAACCGUAAAAUUGCAGUUGAUACUGGAUAUCUUGAGUGCAGUUGAGGCAGGCGGAAUUCGUGGUGUAGCGGUGAAAUGCUUAGAUAUCACGAAGAACUCCGAUUGCGAAGGCAGCCUGCUAAGCUGCAACUGACAUUGAGGCUCGAAAGUGUGGGUAUCAAACAGGAUUAGAUACCCUGGUAGUCCACACGGUAAACGAUGAAUACUCGCUGUUUGCGAUAUACGGCAAGCGGCCAAGCGAAAGCGUUAAGUAUUCCACCUGGGGAGUACGCCGGCAACGGUGAAACUCAAAGGAAUUGACGGAGGCCCGCACAAGCGGAGGAACAUGUGGUUUAAUUCGAUGAUACGCGAGGAACCUUACCCGGGCUUAAAUUGCAGAUGAAUUACGGUGAAAGCCGUAAGCCGCAAGGCAUCUGUGAAGGUGCUGCAUGGUUGUCGUCAGCUCGUGCCGUGAGGUGUCGGCUUAAGUGCCAUAACGAGCGCAACCCUUGUUGUCAGUUACUAACAGGUUCUGCUGAGGACUCUGACAAGACUGCCAUCGUAAGAUGUGAGGAAGGUGGGGAUGACGUCAAAUCAGCACGGCCCUUACGUCCGGGGCUACACACGUGUUACAAUGGGGGGUACAGAGGGCCGCUACCACGCGAGUGGAUGCCAAUCCCAAAAACCUCUCUCAGUUCGGACUGGAGUCUGCAACCCGACUCCACGAAGCUGGAUUCGCUAGUAAUCGCGCAUCAGCCACGGCGCGGUGAAUACGUUCCCGGGCCUUGUACACACCGCCCGUCAAGCCAUGGGAGCCGGGGGUACCUGAAGUGCGUAACCGCGAGGAGCGCCCUAGGGUAAAACUGGUGACUGGGGCU
rnacentral:rRNA from 1 species